rnacentral:rRNA from 1 species
CACGUAGGGCGCAAGCGUUGUCCGGAAUUAUUGGGCGUAAAGAGCUCGUAGGCGGUCUGUUGCGUCCGCUGUGAAAACUCGGGGCUUAACCCCGAGCCUGCAGUGGAUACGGGCAGACUAGAGGUAGGUAGGGGAGAAUGGAAUUCCCGGUGUAGCGGUGAAAUGCGUAGAGAUCGGAAGGAACACCAAUGGCGAAGGCAGCUUGCUGGGCCACACCUGACACUGAGGUACGAAAGCGUGGGGAGCGAACAGG